AUGGAGGCUUGAUGAUCCAAAAUUCCUCGGUUACCUACCUAUUUUCUGAUUCCUGAUUGUGAGAAACCAAUGGAUCCUUCCGAUGAGCCUGCCA